rnacentral:rRNA from 1 species
CGAGGUGCAAGCGUUAUCCGGAUUCGACUGGGUUAAAGGGUGUGUAGCGGGUCUGUAAGUCAGUGGUGAAAUCUCCGAGCUCAACUUGGAAACUGCCAUUGAUACUAUAGGUCUUGAAUUUUGUUGAGGUAGCGGAAUAUGUCAUGUAGCGGUGAAAUGCUUAGAUAUGACAUAGAACACCGAUUGCGAAGGCAGCUUACUAAGCAAAUAUUGACGCUGAGGCACGAAAGCGUGGGGAUCAAACAGGAUUAGAUACCCUGGUAGUCCACGCCCUAAACGAUGAUUACUCGACAUACGCGAUACACAGUGUGUGUCUGAGCGAAAGCAUUAAGUAAUCCACCUGGGAAGUACGACCGCAAGGUUG